GGAGACGAGGUGGUGCAUGGCUGUCGUCAGCUCGUGUCGUGAGAUGUUGGGUUAAGUCCCGCAACGAGCGCAACCCUUGUCUUUAGUUGCCAUCAUUAAGUUGGGCACUCUAAAGAGACUGCCGGUGACAAACCGGAGGAAGGUGGGAUGACGUCAAGUCAUCAUGCCCCUUAUGACCUGGGCUACACACGUGCUACAAUGGGCAGUACAACGAGAAGCAAACCCGCGAGGGUAAGCGGAUCUCUUAAAGCUGCUCUCAGUUCGGACUGCAGGCUGCAACUCGCCUGCACGAAGCUGGAAUCGCUAGUAAUCGCGGAUCAGCACGCCGCGGUGAAUACGUUCCCGGGCCUU
rnacentral:rRNA from 1 species